rnacentral:rRNA from 1 species
UACGAAGGGUGCAAGCGUUAAUCGGAAUUACUGGGCGUAAAGCGUGCGUAGGCGGUUUGUUAAGUCUGUUGUGAAAUCCCCGGGCUCAACCUGGGAAUGGCAAUGGAUACUGGCAAGCUAGAGUGUGUCAGAGGAUGGUGGAAUUCCCGGUGUAGCGGUGAAAUGCGUGGAGAUCGGGAGGAACAUCAGUGGCGAAGGCGGCCAUCUGGGACAACACUGACGCUGAGGCACGAAAGCGUGGGGGAGCAAACAGG